ACCCCAAGACUUUUCAUUUCAAAAUCAUCUCUUUCUCUCUCAAGACCUUCCAUCUACCCCAAACCCACUGGAGAAGAAAGACAAGCUGGAGAAGAAAGACACGCCGGAGAAGAAAGAAGGUGCGGUGGUGAAUCGAAAACGCCGGAAAGAAAGAAGGUGCACCGAAGAAAAAAGAAGGUGCGGCGAUGAAUCGAAAUCACCGGGAAAGAAAGUGCGGCAGUGAAUCGAAACCGUAAACCCACCAGAGAAGAAUAUAUAUGAGAUCAACGUUUCAGCUGUUAUCGUUCGGUAAAAGUCACCGGAAAUGGAAGAAAGCAAGAACAUGCGGAAGCAAAUAAAAACUCAAAAUUUGGGGAGACUUCAAGUUCAGGGCAUAAUUGGGUAGAAAGUAGCUAGUCUUAGUUAUGUUACUACUAUUUUUUUAAUUAGUAGAUUAAAAAUGUUGGACUGUAACUUGUGUUAUUACGACUUGACCAUAGCAGUUGCAUCCAAACGAGAAGGGAUCUUGGCAGGAAGGAAGAGAACCACAAUAUCGGAUACGACAAAAGGUGGCCAUAAAGCGAAAGAAGGUAGAUGGAGAAACCGAUGAAGAAUGGGAACAAGAAGUCGAUGAAGGGCAUGUGGUGGGUACCUUUGACGUUGUACAAAAGUUACCCUCUAGUGUAACACAUGUUACAAACAUGUGUUACAUAUGUUCAACCCCUUUGUUACCAAAAAUCGGGGCUGCACAUAUGUAAGACAUGUUUGUAACUAAUGUUACACUAUAGGGUAACACAUGUAUGAUCAGUUUUCGAUCAUUUGUAUAUAUUUUAAGCCUGUAUAAACCUACAACAUCGAUACCCCAAAAAAGGUUACACAUGUUACGACAGAAUUGGAAAUGUGUAGCAGCGUUCAAUACUGUUGUUUCACUCUAUAGUGUGUAACAUGUGUGACAUGGCGUUUGUCAGCAAAACAUAUAACUUGUAAGGUGAUAUGGUUGUAUCUUUAAAA